rnacentral:rRNA from 1 species
AUUGAACGCUGGCGGCAGGCCUAACACAUGCAAGUCGAACGAGUGGCGGACGGGUGAGUAAUGUCUGGGAAACUGCCUGAUGGAGGGGGAUAACUACUGGAAACGGUAGCUAAUACCGCAUACUAUCAGAUGAGCCUAGGUUGGAUGAGCUAGUUGGUGGGGUAAAGGCCUACCAAGGCGACGAUCCGUAACUGGUCUGAGAGGAUGAUCAGUCACACUGGAACUGAGACACGGUCCAGACUCCGACGGGAGGCAGCAGUUGGGAAUCUUGGGCAAUGGGCGAAAGCCUGAUCCAGCAAUGCGGCGUGUGUGAAGAAGGUCUUCGGAUUGUAAAGCACUGUUGUUUGGGAAGCGUUACCAACCGAGUAAGCACCGGCUAACUCCGUGCCAGCAGCCGCGGUAAUUC